rnacentral:rRNA from 1 species
CGAGCGCAACCCUUAUCCUUGUUUGCCAGCGAGUAAUGUCGGGAACUCCAGGGAGACUGCCGGUGAUAAACCGGAGGAAGGUGGGGACGACGUCAAGUCAUCAUGGCCCUUACGAGUAGGGCUACACACGUGCUACAAUGGCGCAUACAGAGGGCGGCCAACUUGCGAAAGUGAGCGAAUCCCAAAAAGUGCGUCGUAGUCCGGAUUGGAGUCUGCAACUCGACUCCAUGAAGUCGGAAUCGCUAGUAAUCGUGGAUCAGAAUGCCACGGUGAAUACGUUCCCGGGCCUU